rnacentral:lncRNA from 1 species
GAGGGAAGGAGUGGGGCAGCUGGACGGAGAAACCAGAGAGGAGGAAAGGAAGGGAGUCAGUGUCAGGUCAGAGAAAGUACUCACAAAAGACAGAAAAACGGACACGGACAGACUCACAGAGAGGGGGGUGGACGGACGAAGGGAAAGGGCCAGAAAGAGCCAGGGAGUAAGAGGAGGAGAAGCGAGGCAGAUACGGGGAGAAACAGACACCACACGACGACGGGCUGGUAGGACACAGAUGGGGCCGAGUCCCCAUCAGCACGACGGUAACACGGAGAGAGUUCCAGGCGACAGAGACCGGCAGAGAAAAGGAGAAAAAAAUGAGAAGGACCCCGGAAAGGAAAUAAAGAAACCGGAGUCAGUAAAGGGGAGCUGGGCAGGGGGGGGGGGGGGGGGGGGGGGGGGGGGGGCGGGGGGGGGGGGGGCCCCCCCCCCCCCCCCCCCCCCCCCCCCCCCUGCCCAGCUCCCCUUUACUGACUCCGGUUUCUUUAUUUCCUUUCCGGGGUCCUUCUCAUUUUUUUCUCCUUUUCUCUGCCGGUCUCUGUCGNNNNNNNNNNNNNNNNNNNNNNNNNNNNNGGGAGGGAGGGGGCGGGCGGGGCUGAGCGGGAGGCGGACUCCCCGCCCCCUGCCCCUCCCGAUCCCGCCCCCCCCUCCCCCGCGGGACGCCUGUCCCCUGCCGCGCGAAGGCCCUGGAGGUGACCCUUGUCCGCUCCCGGAAAGGUCACCCCGACCCUGCCCCCGGUCUCCUUCGCAGGGUAGCCAGGCAGGACGUGGGUCUGGGCUGUGGGGUGGGGACGGCGAGGCGCAGCGGUGGCGGCGGCAGCAGGUUGGCGGCUGGGAGCGGUUCCCGGUGGCGGCUGCACCCCCGGGGUCUUCCAUAUGGCGUGUGCGUCUGUUUAGCAACCUGCCUCAAAACUCUGAGCCGCAUUUACGCCCCGGGGCGGAAGACAGCGCGUCCCUGGGGAAAGGAGGCUGGCCGUGUUUUGCAUUUCAAGGUGGCGUUGCCAUCUUGCCAGGUUGGGAUUCCCAGGCAACCCGCGCUCCAGCCUAGUGGCAAAAUAAGAGAUACUAUUUUCCCGCCCAAAGAUACGUUUCUCCCAGACGAUGGUGCCAGGAAAGAGAUUUUUCUUUUUCAAAGGAUUUGGUAAUUCUCUCCCCGCCCCCCCCAACCCCUGAGACAAAUGAGAGCUAUAGAACCCACUGUCCCCCUUUUGCUUUGGCUGCUGGGAAGCUCAGACCUAAAUUGCAACGAUUAAUACAUUUAUAAACCGUUUCUAAUCCGGGAAUUGUUAACCUGACGUGCAUGGAUGCCACAGGCUUCCUAAAGCUCCUGAACUUGUAUGCAAAAUUAUUGUCUUAGUCGGCUCGGGCUGCUAUGACAAAAUACCAUCGACUGGGUGGCUUAAACAACGGAACGUUUAUUUUUCACAGUUCUGGGAGCUGGGAAGUCCAAGGUCAAGGUCCCCGCAGAUUUGGCGUCUGGUGAGGACCCUCUUCCUGAUUUGCAAAUGGCUGCUUUUUCACUGUUUCCUCACGUGGUGGAAAGAGGAAGCUCCGGGUCUCUUUCUCUUCUUGGAAGAGCACCAAUCCCCUCACAGGGGUGCCACCGUCAAGAUUUCACCCCCUAAUUACCUCCCAAAGGCUCCCCUUCUGUUGGAAAUGAGGGCUUCGGCAUAGGCCUUUGGUGGGGAAGGGGCAGGGGACAGGGGCAUUCAGUCCAUCACAGUUACGUGUAGGCAUACUUUUCUGGGGGGCGUUCUCAAGGUUCUCGAAGAUGUCCAUUACCUUUCAAAGGUUAAAAAGGGGGUCAGCCUGGAUUCAGCUUACAGUGUGGCUCCCCGAACCUGUCUCCUUUUCCUCCGUAUGUUCGUGACUGCAGGUGGCUCCCGAGCUGGACUGCAUUUCCCGUCCUUCUCUGCACCUGGACAUGGCCGCCGAACGGGUUCUGACCAAAAGACGGUGAGUGGAAGGCAUGGUGUUCCUCCCAGGUCAUCCUUCAAGGCCCUGGGUGGACCUUGUCCGUAUUUGCCUGCCCCUUCCUCCUGGCUAGACCCCGACGAUCCCGGGGACUCAUUUUCAAAUGACAGUGACUUUGGUGGAAAAGCUUUAGAAGAAGCGUGUUAAUGUUGGAGCUAUCCCAUGAGGGGGAAAUGCAUUUCCGUAGUAUUUCACUGUAGUUGGGGGCCGGCCUGGCUUUACCCCAUCAAAUGGGCCAACCCUAAGCUCCCGCAGCAACAGCACACAUUGUGAACCCGAGCCACCUACUUCCUGGGGCCAUUUAGCACGGUGGGGAGGUGUCCCUGUCCCUGUCGUGACCACCCACACGGCCUUUGCUCAUGGCUGGACUUGGAAGCCUGCUUCCAAGUACUUCCAGCUCUUUCUUUCCCCAGCAGCAGACUACUACCAACCCACCUGGCCCUCUCUCACGUUCCCCCACCCUGAGAUCCCUCUGAAUACCACGCUUCCCCGGCUCAAGGCAGCAUAGUGGUUGAGGGCACAAGCUUUGGGUUCAGCCUGCCCCUGGCCAAGUCCUGACUGUUCUGCAUGGACUCUGUGACCUCAGGGAGCACGUUUGACCCCUCUGAGCCUCUGUCUCGUUAUCUUUAAGUAGAGGGUGAUGAAGAAUCCUCACUACACAGGGCUGUUAUGAAGACGAUACCAGUAAAGCAGGAGAAGCUCGGCAAGUGUAUGCAACCCCCCCAGGAAUCAUCAUCAUCAUAGUCCCUUUCCAUCCAACGCAUCCACUCGAGGGACAGCCGUCCUCCAUGGAGCCCCCUCCUCUGCCCUCCUCGCCCUAAGGUCCCGGGAGCGUCUCCCUCCCAAGGCCAGCCCGCCCUCCGUUAAUUAUCCAGGGCUGCAAAAACAAAUCAGCCCCACGGUUAGAGGCAUAAAACAAUCUCUCACACAGUUCUGUGGGUCGGGGAUUCAUGAUGUUUGGCCAGGUUGUUUGGUUUGGGGCAUCUUGUGAACUUGUGGUCAAGAGGUCAGCUGGGGCUGUGGUCAUCUGAAAGCGGGACUGAGGCUGGGGGAACCUGUUUCCAAGAUGGCAGACCCAUGUGGCUGUUGGCCUCAGUUCCUCACCACAUGGACCUCUUCUCGUGCAAGCUGGCUUCCCAAGAGUGAGUCAUGAGAGAGACCGACAGAGACAGACAGAGAGAGAGAGGCAGAGACAGAGAAAGGAAAGAGGAAGCUGAAAUGCCUUUCGUGAUCUAGUCCCAGAAGUCACACGUAGUCACUUCUGUCACGUUCUAUUUGUUACAAGGAAUCACUAAGUCAGGCUCACGCUCCAAGGAAAGGGAAUUAGGCUCUACCUUUGAAGGGACUUGGGGACAUAUUUUGAAACAACCACACGCACCUUGUCCAUGAGCAGGCUCUGCUUAUGCUGUGAGCAGGUGCACAUAGAUAGUCCCUGUCGCACCUGCUGCUAACCACCCGCUCCCACCCCAGACCCAGGCAUGGGCCUCCUGUCCUGUCACAGAGUCAUGGUCGAGGGCACUGUGCCCUGGACAAGUAAGCCUCCCUUCAGAGCCAUAGGGUCCUCUUCUGUGAAAUGGACUGUAAUCGUGGGAGUGGCUGAUAAGAGCUGUCUGUGGAUUCAGUGAGCUGACACGCAUAGAGCUGGGAACAGAGCUCCUGGCUGAGAGCAUUGUUGGCGGUCGCUCUCGUUCUCCUGGCCUGCCCUCUGACGUGACUUCUUAGGAUGCUGCCCUGCAUGCACUAGGCACACGAUAAACAUCUGCCUGCCCGCCUGCCUGCCUCUCGGGGGGCCUCUCCGUGUGUCCCCGGGAGGCUCAAACAGACCUCCAUAAACAAAAGAUGAACUAGAGGAAAUUGAAGCAAAAGGGCAGGUGGGAGAUUUAAAGAAAAUAAAUCCCGUUUCUAAGUCCCGCUUGAAAAUGAACCCUCCCACGGGGACACCUGGGGGGCUCAGUCGGUUAAGCGGCUGCCUUCAGAUCAAAU